AUGGAUAUGCUGAGCAUCCCCUGUUUGAACAGCAUCAGACAGAGCCUGGACAGAUUUUCUCAUGGUGUGUUGCACAGAGCAGACACUGCCACUGUGUCAAUGAAGGGUGAAUUGUAUCAAGCACAGGAACUGGGAACUAAAUCAAGUCUGAGCCUUGAUCAACUACUUGCUUUGGAUUUCUUGCAAUAUGAGACAUAUCCUUUGAAGGUCCAAGGAAAUGUGGGGAACUCUGCCUUUCAAAAGCUUGGGCAAGAGCUGAUGGGAACCUUUGUGUCAUGCUGCACAAUGCUGAUUCUUCCUCUGCACACAGUGAAUAAAGUAAAUAUUUGCUAUCCCCUUUUUUUCUCUGAGUAA
rnacentral:lncRNA from 1 species